rnacentral:rRNA from 1 species
AGAAUCAACGCUGGCGGCGUGCCUAACACAUGCAAGUCGAACGAGAAAGUGGAGCAAUCCACGAGUAAAGUGGCGCACGGGUGAGUAACACGUGACUAACCUACCCUUGAGUGGGGGAUAACCUAGGGAAACCUGGGCUAAUACCGCAUAAUACCUUCGGGUCAAAGGAGCAAUUCGCUUAAGGAGGGGGUCGCGGCCGAUUAGUUAGUUGGCGGGGUAAUGGCCCACCAAGACUGUGAUCGGUAUCC